ensembl:lncRNA
AGCAUGCAUUAAAAUAAUAAUAAAAAAAAUGUCAGUAAAGACAUUUAUGAUGUUACAAGAAAUUUCUAUUUCAAAUAAAUGCUGGUCUUCUGAAUUUUCUACUUAUCAAGGAAUCCUGUCACUGAAUCUGCACUAGAGACCACUCGUACCAGUGAGUUAACUCCAAGUUUACCUUCAGUCCAAAAGCCCAUUCGAGAACCCUAUCCAGACCAUCCAGUCUCAGAGCACAGCUCCAGAUCAAGUCAAGAGAUGGCUCUAGCCCCUGACCCGAGUCGAGAAAAGGCUUGAGUUCUGGAGUUUAGCUCAGAGAGGACCCCCGUUCCAGAGUUUAGCCCAGAGAGGGCUACUGUUCCCGAGUUUGGCCCAGAAAAGGGUCCUGUUCUCGAGUAUAGCCCAGAGAGGGCUCUUGUUUCUGUGUUUAGAACAGAGAAGGCUUUUGUUCCCGAAUCAGGCCCAGAGAGGCUUACAGUAUGUUCCCAAGUUUGGCCCAGAGGGGGCUUCCAUCCCCUAGUCUGGCCCAGAGAGGGUCCCUGUUCUCGGGUAUAGCCCAGAGAGGGUUCUUGUUUCCAUGUUUAGGCCAGAGAAGGCUUUUGUUCCCGAAUUAGGACCAGAGAGGCCUUCUGUUCCCAAGUUGGGCCCAGUGAGGGUAUCUGUUUUUGACCAGAGUCCAGUGCAGGCUCCAGCCCCAGACCAGAGUCCAGUGCAGGCUCCAGCCCCAGACCAGAAUCCAGAGCACAUUUCAGCCCUCGAUCAGAAUCCGGAGUUGGCUUCAGCCCCAGACCAGGGUCCAGUAAAUGUUCCUGCCAAUUAUCUGAGUCCUAGACACACAGCCACUAGUGCUCUUCAGUCAGAUUAAAUGUCUUUGCUGCAGCCAGGAGAGCCGUUCCCCUCGCUGUAAGAAUCAGCCACCCCAUCACAGCCAGGAGUGCAGUUCCUUCUUCAGUCAGAUUAAGUUUUCCAGUCACGGUCAGGAGUGCUGUUCCCUUUGUAAUCCAGAGGAGUUUUCCUGUCGCAGCCUGGAGAACCAUUCCUCCUCCUAUAGAUAGUAAAUCCCUAACCUCGACUCCAGUAUUCUGGUGGUCAUCCGCUCCAGAGCACCCUCCAGUGUCCGCUCCUCCAGACCGCCCUCCAGUGUUCGCUCCUUCAGAGCUCCCUCCAAAUCUCGCCCCAGGGUCUUCCGAGCGACCGACACUACCAUGGCCUCCCAAACAGUCAGCGCCUCCCUGGCUCCUUAAGUGGAUGGCACAUGUCCUAAACUGCAAACACCACCCUAUUCACCUGUCCG